AUUGAACGCUGGCGGAAUGCUUUACACAUGCAAGUCGAACGGUAGAGGGGGCAACCCCUCGAGAGUGGCGAACGGGUGAGUAAUAUAUCGGAACGUGCCCAGUCGUGGGGGAUAACGUAGCGAAAGUUACGCUAAUACCGCAUACGAUCUACGGAUGAAAGCGGGGGAUCGCAAGACCUCGCGCGAUUGGGGCGGCCGAUAUCAGAUUAGGUAGUUGGUGGGGUAAAGGCUCACCAAGCCAACGAUCUGUAGCUGGUCUGAGAGGACGACCAGCCACACUGGAACUGAGACACGGUCCAGACUCCUACGGGAGGCAGCAGUGGGGAAUUUUGGACAAUGGACGCAAGUCUGAUCCAGCCAUUCCGCGUGCAGGAUGAAGGCCCUCGGGAUGUAAACUGCUUUUGUACGGAACGAAAAGGUCUCUCUUAAUACGGGGGGCUCAUGACGGUACCGUAAGAAUAAGCACCGGCUAACUACGUGCCAGCAGCCGCCGCCG
rnacentral:rRNA from 1 species